CUUAAAUCCCUUACCCUUAUGGUCCUCCUCUACGACCUCCUCAGCUGCCAAAAGUCGUCUAUAUCCCGUUGGAGGCUUAUGUGGUGGUUUGUGAUGAGGUGGAAACUUUUCUCCCUUUCCCUUAUGAUGUUUAAAAGAAUCCUCUUCAUCCUCAAUUAAAAGGUGUCCAUGCGGGGGUUUGUGUUUAGGUGGUGGUUUCUCUCCCUUACCCUUUGGAGGUCCAUGAAAGUCCUCUACAUUUUCACUUAGAAAGUGACCAUGUGGUGGCUUGUGUUUUGGGGGUGGUUUCUCACCUUUACCUUUAGGAGGUUCAUGGCGGUCAUCAGCAAGUGAUGAAGGGGUGGUGGAGAGAAUCACUGCUACUCCGAGCAGGAGGAACACCAGCAAGCAUUUAGGAGAAGACAUCUUUGUUUUGAUUUUUGUUCGAGGUGCGAAACUCAGAAGGAUUGGUUUGCCUUUUAUAGUACUACAUGGUUAGACCUAUGC
rnacentral:misc_RNA from 1 species